GAGAUUGACCCUAUGAUUUUCCGAAGGCAGCAACGGCGAAUCAGGAAAAAGGCUACGCAUUUGCUGAAGGUUCCGAGUGGUGUGUGGGUCACCACUGAGGGAACGGCGAAGGCCUUGGACGCCAUGGGUUAUGUGGAGGACCGUAAAAGGUUCCAGCCCCGUCC